GAUGAACGCUGGCGGCGUGCCUAAUACAUGCAAGUCGAGCGAACGGACGAGAAGCUUGCUUCUCUGAUGUUAGCGGCGGACGGGUGAGUAACACGUGGAUAACCUACCUAUAAGACUGGGAUAACUUCGGGAAACCGGAGCUAAUACCGGAUAAUAUUUUGAACCGCAUGGUUCAAAAGUGAAAGACGGUCUUGCUGUCACUUAUAGAUGGAUCCGCGCUGCAUUAGCUAGUUGGUAAGGUAACGGCUUACCAAGGCAACGAUGCAUAGCCGACCUGAGAGGGUGAUCGGCCACACUGGAACUGAGACACGGUCCAGACGCCUACGGGAGGCAGCAGUAGGGAAUCUUCCGCAAUGGGCGAAAGCCUGACGGAGCAACGCCGAGUGAGUGAUGAAGGUCUUCGGAUCGUAAAACUCUGUUAUUAGGGAAGAACAUAUGUGUAAGUAACUGUGCACACCUUGACGGUACCUAAUCAGAAAGCCACGGCUAACUACGUG
rnacentral:rRNA from 1 species